GAUGAACGCUAGCUACAGGCUUAACACAUGCCAGUCGAGGGGAAACGACAUCGAAAGCUUGCUUUUGAUGGGCGUCGACCGGCGCACGGGUGAGUAACGCGUAUCCAACCUGCCCAUCACUUGGGAAUAACCUUGCGAAAGUAAGACUAAUACCCAAUGACAUCCCACGAAGACAUCUGAAUGGGAUUAAAGAUUUAUCGGUGAUGGAUGGGGAUGCGUCUGAUUAGCUUGUUGGCGGGGUAACGGCCCACCAAGGCAACGAUCAGUAGGGGUUCUGAGAGGAAGGUCCCCCACAUUGGAACUGAGACACGGUCCAAACUCCUACGGGAGGCAGCAGUGAGGAAUAUUGGUCAAUGGGCGAGAGCCUGAACCAGCCAAGUAGCGUGCAGGAUGACGGCCCUAUGGGUUGUAAACUGCUUUUAUAAGGGAAGAAAGUGGGUCUCGUGAGACUUUUUGCAUGUACCUUAUGAAUAAGGACCGGCUAAUUCCGUG
rnacentral:rRNA from 1 species